rnacentral:rRNA from 1 species
CACGGAGUUAGCCGGAGCUUAUUCUCCCGGUACUGUCAUUAUCAUCCCGGGUAAAAGAGCUUUACAACCCUAAGGCCUUCAUCACUCACGCGGCAUUGCUGGACCAGGCUUGCGCCCAUUGUCCAAUAUUCCCUACUGCUGCCUCCCGUAGGAGUCUGGGCCGUGUCUCAGUCCCAGUGUGGCUGAUCAUCCUCUCAGACCAGCUAAGGAUCGUCGCCUUGGUGGGCCUUUACCCCACCAACUAGCUAAUCCUACGCGGGCUCAUCCUUGGGCGAUAAAUCUUUGGACUUACGUCAUCAUCCGGUAUUAGCUUCCGUUUCCAGAAGUUAUUCCGAACCCAAGGGCAGAUUCCCACGCGUUACGCACCCGUGCGCCACUAGAUCCGAAGAUCUCGUUCGACUUGCAUGUAUUAGGCAUGCCGCCAGCGUCGUUCUGAGCCACGGAGUCAAACUAC